AUCAGAAGUGCGAAUGCUGACAUAAGUAACGAUAAAGCGGGUGAAAAGCCCGCUCGCCGGAAGACCAAGGGUUCCUGUCCAACGUUAAUCGGGGCAGGGUGAGUCGACCCCUAAGGCGAGGCCGAAAGGCGUAGUCGAUGGGAAACGGGUUAAUAUUCCCGUACUUGGUGUUACUGCGAAGGGGGGACGGAGAAGGCUAUGUUGGCCGGGCGACGGUAGUCCCGGUUUAAGCGUGUAGGUGUGUGUUCCAGGUAAAUCCGGUUCACUUUAACACUGAGGCGUGAUGACGAGGCACCACGGUGCUGAAGCAACAAAUGCCCUGCUUCCAGGAAAAGCCUCUAAGCAUCAGGUAACAUCAAAUCGUACCCCAAACCGACACAGGUGGUCAGGUAGAGAAUACCAAGGCGCUUGAGAGAACUCGGGUGAAGGAACUAGGCAAAAUGGUGCCGUAAC
rnacentral:rRNA from 1 species